ensembl:snoRNA
UAGGCCCAUGAUGUCAACUGGUGGCAAAUGAAUUACAGACAAUGAAUACUGGGUGUCUGUUACUCCCAGCACAAA